UACGGGGGGGCAAGCGUUUGCUCGGAAAUCACUGGGCGUAAAGGGUUGCGUAGGUCGGGUCUUUUAAGUCAGGGGUGAAAUCCUGGAGCUCAAACUCCAGAACUGCCUUUGAUACUGAUGAGCUUGAGUUCGGGAGAGGUGAGUGGAACUGCGAGUGUAGAGGUGAAAUUCGUAGAUAUUCGCGAAGAACACCAGUGGCGAAGGCGGCUCACUGGCCCGGUACUGACGCUGAGGUGCGAAAGCGUGGGGAGCA
rnacentral:rRNA from 1 species